CCUCGGGUGGCUGCAGUGGGGAAUAUUGGACAAUGGGCGAAAGCCUGAUCCAGCCAUGCCGCGUGUGUGAAGAAGGCCUUCGGGUUGUAAAGCACUUUCAGUGGGGAAGAAAGCCUUGGGGCUAAUACCCUCGAGGAAGGACAUCACCCACAGAAGAAGCACCGGCUAACUCCGUGCCAGCAGCCGCGGUAAUACGGAGGGUGCGAGCGUUAAUCGGAAUUACUGGGCGUAAAGCGCGCGUAGGCGGUCUGAUAAGCCGGUUGGGAAAGCCCCGGGCUCAACCUGGGAACGGCAUCCGGAACUGUCAGGCUAGAGUGCAGGAGAGGAAGGUAGAAUUCCCGGUGUAGCGGUGAAAUGCGUAGAGAUCGGGAGGAAUACCAGUGGCGAAGGCGGCCUUCUGGACUGACACUGACGCUGAGGUGCGAAAGCGUGGGUAGCAAACAGGAUUAGAUACCCCGGUAGUC
rnacentral:rRNA from 1 species